rnacentral:rRNA from 1 species
ACGCUCGACACCUACUGGAGGCAGCAGUGAGGAAUAUUGGUCAAUGGGCGCUAGCCUGAACCAGCCAAGUAGCGUGAAGGAUGAAGGCUCUAUGGGUCGUAAACUUCUUUUAUAUAAGAAUAAAGUGCAGUAUGUAUACUGUUUUGUAUGUAUUAUAUGAAUAAGGAUCGGCUAACUCCGUGCUAGCAGCCGCGGUAAUCUGAGCGGGCUGGCAAGGC